AUACAAUUUUCUUAAAAAUAAUAAAUUAUAAGUAUAUAUCUUUACAAAAUUUAACUUUCUUAUAUUAUUACUAUAAAAAUUUUAAUAUUUUCAAAUAUAUCUAUACCGUUAAGAUCUAUUAGAAAAUUUUAGUUAACUAUAUAUAGAUAUAACAAUUAAUUCUGUUUAGUCAAUAAAGUAAAUAAACUUUUUUACUCCUCUUAUAUUAUAUCUUUUUUUCUCAAUCAAAAUUCUAGCAAUGAAAAUCUUUCUUCUUCUUCCUCUUCCUCUUCUUCUCUCUCCUUCAUACUAGCUAGUUUUGAACUCGUAAUUAGAAUUUCUUCGUCCCAUUCAUGCACGACGCGUGUUGUUUCACCUGUGUCGAAAGCAUAUUAUUUCCGCCAUUCAAUUUGCUUUGUGAAUUUUUUUUAUUUUGUUAAAAAAAAUAAUUUAGGAGAAAAGAGGUGAGAGAAGAGGUUGCAAUAAUGGUGAAUUGGGUUGGAUUUUAAAGAAAAAGAAGAUGACUAUUGAAAUUUUUUUUGGAAAGAUAUUUCUGCAUGAUUAUCGCAGUUGGGGCUUUUUGAAAGGACAUAUUUGUGAUGGCAAAAUUGACAUUUCACUUAUCUGCUAUUAAAAAAUAAACAGCUCUCUAACGGUAACAAACCAGAUAGAUUAAUAUAAAUAUUGCUGGACUUUUGUAAAGAUAAUAUAAAAAAGUUGAACUUUAUAAAGAUAUAUUUGCAAUUCACUAUGUUUAGAGGAAACUGUAUGCAUAUUAACCUUUUUAUUUAAAUAGCUUAGUCUCUAAACUUUUCACAUAUAUAUAUAUAUAUAUAUAUAUAUAUAUAUAUAUAUAUAUAUAUAUAUNAUAGAAAUUUUAUUCUAUCUGUAAAAUGCCUAAUUAUUUUUAUUUCUUCAACCCAUCAAUUUUUUUAAUAAAAAAAACUAAUUUCACAAUAAAAAAACAAAAUGUUUCGUCGUAUUUAGUGAUCAAUUAAAAGCUGCAAUACAGGUCCAAGCUAGAAAGAAAUUUUUUAAAAAAGAAAGUAAAGAAAGAGUACAUAUAUGCAUGAGGAACCAACGUAGGAUAUCCGUAUAGUACGUACGGAGACUAUAUAUUCAUACAUUUUUUUGUACCCUUCAUUUAAUUUCUACCGUUACUUUGCGACCGCUUCCAUAUUAAUCGGAGGUGAUAUUUCAUAUUUGGUGGCUCCGUGCGAGAUCAUUAGCUAUUAUUAGUCUGAAUUAAUUAAAUUAAUUCUCGGUUGGCAUCAUCCCUGACUGGCAUCUUGAAAUCAUCGAAAUCCGAGCCGAUCCCGAUCCCCGACUUUUAUUACCACGUGCUCUUCGUACGGGCUGUCCUUAAUGUGCUGUUUACAAGUUAUUAGAAUAAUAAAAUAAAAUGUUACGAUGAUCUCCCCUCUUUUAUUUAUUUACCAUAAUAAAAGUUCGAAUAAAUUACAACUCAGAACCUCAAAAUAUGAGCCACACUAUAUUUUAAAUCUCAAAUUUUUAUUUAUUAUAAUUUUAACUUAAAAUUUUUAAAAUAUUAUAAUUAAUUCAUACAAAUUAAUUUAGUUGGUUAAAUAUUAAUAACUUAUUAAGGUAAAAGUAAUAUAGUAUAUACUUUAUUAUUAUCACAUUAUUAAUUACAAUACUUUCUUAUUUUUCUUGUGCCAACAAUUUAUCAGCAUGCAGCCAAUUAAAUUAGAAUGUGAGUUUUUUUUACAAUAAUUCAAAAAAUUUAACUAGAAUUAUAAUAAACUAAAGUUUAAAAAUAAAAAUAUCACGGUCUUCAUCAUUUGAGGACCACAAGUAUAAUUUAUUCUAAAAGUUUAGAAGAGAGAAGAAUAGGAGCGUAAAAAAAUUCUUAAGAAAGUCUAGCGGAGAAAUAGGGAAAAAGGAAAGGAUGAAAGAAAGUCUAUCGAGUUUCCAGACUCUCGAGUUUUCGGUUGUUGGAUGAAAGGAUGUGCUGUUAAGAUGAUAGUGGUCCUCAGAGUUGAGUGGAUGGUUGGUUGAAUAGUAUAAUCAAACGGGUGGAAAUCAUUAAAGGGUAGAUCUAACGACAGAAAACUCGAUAGUACUAAGAGCUUGGUACUAUCGAUAGUAGAGCAGCCGGACUUAUAUAUAUAGUCACGCCCCGGGGUCUAGUGUUACGAGCUCGCCAACAGAUCCGCCACAUACACAAGAUGCCCUGUAUACAUGAAAUGAUAGGAUAACCUGUGAACAAUUCAAGAACUACUAUAAAAGAGUAACAGAGCUACUAAAAUAAAAAUAAAUAGUCACAUGUACAUACAUAUAAUCUAAGGUGUAUAACAAAACCAAAAGUAUAACGUCAACACCUCACAACACUCAACAAAUAAAACAAAAUACAACUAUGUGUACAUGACUAUAAACAACUACUGUCUCUAAAAUAGUUGUAACACACUGAACUUUUGCAAAUUGCGAGGUUCGAGUGUUUGAUUUGUGUUCCGAGUUUUUUCAGAUAUUCUGGAGAGUCGUUGACGGUGUUCCGAACUAUGGCUCGCAUCCCGAGAAUCGAGAUUUAAAACUUAGCACGAAAAUCUCUAAAGUGAAGAUUUUAGGUUGCUCUCGGGUUGGACUCUGCAGAGUAGAGUACCGGUACUGCAUCGGGCGGGUACCGGUACUCUGUGCAUUUUUCUGCUCGGCCGAGGCUCGGGUUGGCUGUUUGGUUGACUUGGUACCGGUACUGUCACGCCCCCGACCGUACUACCCGAAAACGGUACCAAUUUGGUCCAUUUCGAGGGCGGCGGGCGUGAUGCCGAACGGACAGAGUCUUCACUGUCCGCCCAAGGCUAACCAACCAGAUUGUGUACAACAAGUCCCCAGGAAUACAACUUGAAUUCAUACAUAAUCAAACAACGAUAAUCGAGAGAACAAACAGUGCUAUAUAUCAACAAGAGCAAGCGAUACAAGUAAACAGUAUACAAGUAUUCAAAAGAGAGAAACUUAACGAUUUGAGACAUUUAACCUCUUUCGAUAUCAUUUAAACUUUAAUCAUUUAAUACAACUUGCAUUCUCUUUCCAAAAUGUAAAUACAUCAUAUACUCUCCAAAACCUCACCCUAUACAACAUCUACUCUCCAAAACCUCUUUCGAAGUUAGCCUUUGCUUCAACUCUUUAAAACUCCGGUCACACUCGUCACCCCAAACGAACUUGGUGCCUUUCUGCGUCAAACGGGUAAGCGGAGUCACAAUCUUUGAGAACCCCUCCACAAACCAUCGAUAAUAACCUGCUAGGCCCACAAAACUACGGACCUUAGCUACAUUCGUCGGGCGCGGCCAAUUCUCAAUAGCCUCCACUUUCCUCGGGUCAACUGAGACUCCACUCUCGGAAAUAACAUGCCCGAGAAACGCGACCUCUCGAAGCCAAAAGUCGCAUUUCUUCAGCUUUGCGUACAACUUCUUCUCCUGAAGGAUUUGAAGUACCGUGCGCAAAUGCUCCGCGUGCUCCUCGUCGCUACGCGAAUAGACCAAAAUGUCGUCUAUGAAGACCACGACAAAUUGGUCCAAGCACUCCUGGAACACUCGGUUCAUCAAGCUCAUGAACGCUGCCGGGGCAUUUGUAAGCCCAAAUGGCAUCACCGUGAACUCGUAGUGUCCAUAACGCGUGCGAAACGCCGUCUUCUGAACAUCUUCCGGCUUGAUCUUUAACUGGUGAUAGCCGGACUGAAGGUCGAUCUUAGAAUACACUCGCGACCCCUGCAACUGAUCAAACAAGUCAUCAAUACGGGGUAGCGGGUACUUGUUCUUCACCGUGACCUUGUUCAACUCGCGGUAAUCCAUGCAUAGUCGAAAAGAUCCAUCUUUCUUGCACACAAAUAAUACCGGGGCACCCCACGGCGAAACGCUCGGCCUAAUGAAUUCCUUGUCGAGAAGAUCCUGCAAUUGAUCUCUCAACUCCCUUAGCUCAGCCGGCGCCAUGCGAUACGGGGCCUUAAAAUCGAUGUGGUGCCGGGAACGAAGUUAAUCAUGAACUCGAUCUCCCGGUCCGGCGGCAUACCCGGUAACUCCGCGGGAAACACGUCGGGGAACUCCCGCACAACCGCCAACUCCUCGAGGGUUGGAACCGCUUGAUCAAUCUCCACAACGGUCGCCAAAUAAGCUGUGCAACCGCUGUUCACCAGCUUCCUCGCUCUAGUCGCCGAUACCGUCGCAGCGAAGCACGAGCUCUUGCAAGCUCGAUAGGUGAACUCUUCUUGACCCGGCUCCCGAAAUGUGAUAACUCGAGUCGGGCAAUCAAUCGACACAUAGUACUUCGAGAGCCAAUCCAUGCCCAAUAUGACAUCAAACUCCUUCAACCUUUUGAGCACCAACAAGUCGAUCGGCAUAACCCAGUCAUUCACUUACACUGGACAUGCCAAGCAUCGCUUCCUAACCAAAAAGGAUCGCCCGGGGCCCUCAACAUGCCAAACGUGCUCCCCAAGACGAUACUCAAUAUCAUGCGCUCGUGCAAAUGAUCGACUAAUGAAUGAGUGUGAUGCGCCUGUAUCAAAUAGAGCUCUAGCUCGAACAUCUUUGACCAAAAUUAUACCUUCCACAACGUUGCGCUCGCCGGCCUUAGAAGGCUCCUCAAUGUGCACGGGUGUAGCAUACAUCCUCCCGCUCGGCGCAGAUCAUGCAGGCUCUGGUUGGCGUGGCGCCGCCGCUCGCCCAGUAGAUACUGCAGGAGGGGGCAGAGCAUAGCAAGCUGGAACCGCCGAGGCCGAUGCAGUCGACAUAGCGGGCAAAGCUCCUCCCUGAGGACAGUUGCGGAUGACAUGCCCCGCUUGCCCGCACUUGAAGCACCUCCCACGGCGAUGCUCACAUACACCCGGUCGGUGGUCUCCGCCGCAAAAGACGCAUCGCUCUGCACCGCGACUCUUGGGCUGAGAGCGUGGAUACUUCGGGGGCCUCUUGGAGCUAGACUGUCCCUCCGAGCCACCGCCCUGCCUUUUCUUGCCUUUAUCCUUGUCGAACGCCUCACGGUCCUCACGCUUGCAAGCGUUCCCGUGCUCGACCCAUAAUGCGCGGUCUAAUGCCCCCGCCAAAGUGUGGAACUUGAAGGCAUGCACCAACUUGAAUACUCCCGGCCGGAGUCCUCGAACAAAACAAUCCGCCCGGUCAUGCUCUGUCAUCGUCACGUCCGGGACACAACUCAGGAGAUGGGUGAACUCCCGCUCGUACUCCCGAACCAUGCGGUUGCCUUGCUUGAGCUUGCGAAAAUCUUCCCGCAUCUUUCUCUUGUCGCUGUCGGGAAAGUACUCAGCGAACAACAGCUUGCGAAACUUCGCCCAAUCAAUCGGGGGAAGCUCCGGGGAUCUGUCCUGCUUGACCCUCUUCCACCAAGUCCUGGCCCCCUUCUCGAAGCAAUGAGCGGCCAAGCUCACCUUGUCCUUCUCCAAGGUGAAGAUAUCCUCAAAUAGAGUCUCGAUAGCCGUCAGCCAAGACUCCACCGCCGCUGGAUCUACCACCUCUUCGUCGAAAGUAGGCGGGCGAAACUUCGUAAACCUCGUGAGCGCCACGUAGCCGCGCUCACGCUCCGUCUCCUCAGCCGCCACCGUGGGCGUAGGAGAACUCGAACUGGUUGGAGGAAUAUCCACCGGUGGGGGUUGCGCCGCCACCGGAACCGAUACUCCACCCACACCCUCGGCCGCAUCAGGGGCGCGAACCGAAGGUCCAGGCGGACCGUGGCCUGGACCCGCUGCCGCAGCCGCCGCCGCAACUUGCUGCUCCAGCAACUCUUGGAACCUAUCGAACUGUUCAGUGAGCGCCGCAACUUGCGCUCGCAACUCCUGCACCUCAGGAGGCCCAGCUGGCCCUGGCGCCACUGGAGGCACGGCUGGCUCGGGCACCUCUUGAGGUGGUGCUGGAGCGGUCCUACGCACAUAGCGUCUCUUUGGUGCCAUAGCUCCUGAAACGCAAAUAAUUGGUUAAUUACUUAACCCAACAAUAUCGUCGUAAUUACGAAACGUAACGAUUAAGCAACAUCAAUCAGGCGGUAGAUUGCAAGUGUCUUAGUUCUCGACUUUCGGCAUCAUGUUGUCGGCCGCCAACACAAUCACCUUAAGCCAAAAAUUAAUACCACUUGGAUCAUCUCUAGCCAUAACUAGAGUAACAACACCAACUUCAACCCAAUCCAUUAGCUUCCGCCGCGUCAUAGGUUCACGUCGUACUCACGUACAUGUAACCUUAGGGUUAACCAACCUAGAGUCUCCUAGGUCACCCUAGACUCUCUCUCUUUUGCUUGCUCUUGACUCGCUCUGAUACCACAACUGUUACGCUCCCGACCGCACUACCCGAAAACGGUACCAAUUUGGUCCAUUUCGAGGGCGGCGGGCGUGAUGCCGAACGGACAGAGUCUCCCCUGUCCGCCCAAGGCUAACCAACCAGAUUGUCUACAACAAGUCCCCAGGAAUACAACUUGAAUUCAUACACAAUCAAACAACGAUAAUCGAGAGCACAAACAGUAUAUAUCAACAAGAGCAAGCGAUACAAGUAAACAGUAUACAAGUAUUCAAAAGAGAGAAACUUAACGAUUUGAGACAUUUAACCUCUUUCGAUAUCAUUUAAACAUUAAUCAUUUAAUACAACUUGCAUUCUCUUCCCAAAAUGUAAAUACAUCAUAUACUCUCCAAAACCUCACCCUAUACAACAACUACUCUCAAAAUGUAAAGCAGGGUGAACUAAUGCAAGUAGGAAGUAAGCUAUCGACUAAUACGCUAGGGUGCCAAGCCCUUGCCGUGAUCCUCCCGCUUAGUCGGGACGCUCGAACUAGCACCUGCAACGUGGGGUGUGAGAACUACGAAUAGUUCCCAGUGGGUUCGGCCGCCGACUCCACCGAUCUACCCACUAGGUCUUAAGCAGGCAUAGAGAGAUAUAUAUAUAUAUGCAAUAUAUAUAAAGCUAAACUGAACUGAAAGCGGGUAUGUAAAACAGGUCUAUCAAGCUAUGCCUCAAUCUGAUAUCAUGGAUGCAUGAACAAUAAAUAAAGCUGGAUAAAUAAGCAACUAUGAACAACAACAACAACUAUGAAAGCUAGCUAUCAUGAGCAAUAAUAAUGAGCAUGACUCAAUAGGUAACCAAAUCUCAAGGUGAACUCGUGGUUCACAAGCAUAACUCACGUGUAAAUCUCAUAGGGAAAGUCUCACUGAACUACUCCCCGAGACCGCCUGCGGACAGCACACUGACCGUCCAAACAGCACACUGACUGUCUCUCUAGUGACCAACCUUCGGAGUGCACAGCUUAUGGGGAGCGACCCUUCCAAGCGCAGACAGGCUAUGUGAGCACGAUCAACUCACGAACAGCAGCAACCUACCCUCUAAGGGUAAUCUCAUCAUAGAAUCAAGGUAUACUUGUACCCAAUCUCAUAGUGUCUCAACUACACUAAUGUUUUCAUAUCAAGGUCAUCAACAAUCAUAUGCCACUCAUCAUAGUUUUCUAACUAGAUGCCACUUGUCAUUUGGACUCAUUAUCAACACUAGUCACAUCAUACUAGUUCUUUAGCAACAUAAGCAUUAAUCAUCUCACAUAGGGUCAAGGUCUUUAUCAUAGAGUUUUUAUCAUAUAAUCAUCAUGCAUACAAGAUCAUGAACCAACCAAGCAAGAUACAUUAAGCUACUAGCAUACAAUUAUAAGCGACAAUCCAUCUCUAGCCCUAUAUGAAUAUGCACAAUAUGCAAUUAGAUCAACUUAUAAAACUUAGACAUAGAAGGUAGCCCGAUUGCUUUGGGAUGGUCACCACCCACCUUGUGGUAGUACCGUAGAGCUAAGAAACUCGGCGUCGCGGUCCACGUACGCCGCUUCAACACCUUGGGUCAAAACGAACCCUAGAGCACCCAAUCGGCUAUAUCUCCGCACUCGCUCGACGGAUCGACGAAUCGUCUUCGCCUACGCGUUUGGAAGCAUAGAAAUUAUGUUUCUAACCCACCAAAAGAGAUCAAAACCUUACAUUUCCAAAAAUUCCAAAAUCAAACCCUAGGUUUGCAAUAAUAGAGAAAUCAUGGUUUUAAGCUUCAAAUCUGAGAUUGAACCUUCUCUUAAGCUCCAAUGGUUUCCAUUUGAACCACUCUUAAGCAACAAAACCCUUUUUAAAACCUAGGUCUAGCAUCUAUGAGGAAACCAUGGGUGCUAGCUUCAAGUUUGAGCUAGAUCCAUCAUCUCUAAACCCAAGAGGUUCCAUUAGAACCCUUAAAACCAACAAAAAGCUACAAACCCUAGAAAUCUCAUGUUUAGGGUUUAGGCUUACCUCUAGGGUUUGCUCCAAAGCAAGCCCUAACUUGAGGAAGAGAGGGAGAAGAGCUUCUUCUUCUUCUCCUUGGCCUUCUCCUUCAUUUUCUUCUCUUUCUUGUUCUUCCUCUCCUUCUAUUCUUCUUCUCCUUCUUUCGUUCUAGAGAGAGAGAGAGGAGUUUGAGAGGUAGAGAGAGAGAGAUCUGAGAGAGAAAGAGGGCUGAGAGAGGCCUAAUAGCUCUCUAUUGUAACAAUAUCUCAAAGGCCCUCUCUAUUUUCUAAUUUCCAAAAACAGCCCUUACUGUUCGGGUCCCUUGUACCAGUAUACGGGUUCUUGUACCGGUACAAGGUCUGGGUGACAGCCAAAACCGAGAGCAAACCCGAGAGCUCGGGUCUCGAUUUUCGUCGGGCUUGUACCGGAACAAGCCCCUUGUACCGGUACAGCAGCUGGAGCCCUCCAAAACCCGAGAGCUGCGAUGACUGUACCGGUACAGCCAUCACCCUUGUACCGGUACAGCAGCUCCAGAAUGUUGUUUUCACUCUGUUUCGGCUCCACCUCUCGCCGAUCGAUGUCAAAACCAUUUCAACACUUUUAGAACUCAUUUUUGCUCUUCCAAACUUGUUGGAAUGCCGAAUGGAACUUGUCCAAACCGUUCAAUCGCUAACUUUGGCCCAUUUGGCCAAAGUUAGCCAAUAUCGUCGAAUUUCGAUAUCUCACAGGUACUCUUGCCCGUGGUACCGGUAUGCAGUGCAGACUACAACCUGGCAGUUUUUGGAGGUUCUUUUUGUAAUUGUCCGAACACCUUAUAUACCCCAUACCCCUUGGGCAGGGGCUUGUGUGCUGCGACCAGAGAAGGGAGAGGUGAGUUUUCACCAUAUUUUCCAUGGUUUUUCUCUCUUUUGUUGGGAUUUUUGGAGGUUUGAUCUUCCUCUUUUGCUUCUUUUUCCUUGUUGGUGGCGCUUCCACCAUGAGAGAAGACUUGGAGCUUGGAGUAGAGCUUGUUGGAGUGAUCUUCAACCCUAGCUCAUUUCAAGCCUAGUUGGGAGCUUCUUAAGAGGUUUGUAGCAUGUUUCUCUCUUCUGAUACAUGUUUUGGUGGAUUUCUUGAGAUGAAACCAUAACAUGAGAAAUCUAGGGUUUACUUGGAGAUUUUUUAUUAGAAGCUUUUGGAGUACAAUUAAUUGGUUUAGAACCUUUGUUUAGGUUGGAUUUGAAGGGAUCUAGCUCACAUUUGGGAUUUGAGAGGGUUUUUCUACAUUACAGGUGAGUUUUAAUCCUUUUCUUGGGUUGGUUAAAGUUGAACACGUGGAGUGUUCGUUCAUUUUGUCUAACUCUCCUAAAAUUUUUUUUAGGGAGCUAGGAGAUGUGAGGACACCUUCGUCGGUACAAACGACGGGAAUUUGAGGAGUCUUGGUCGGUUUGAACUCACCGAAAUGAGAAAAAUUUCACAUAUGUCGUUUUAAUUGUCGUAAAAUAGAAAAUCAUGCAUGUUCAUGCUAGAUAGGGCAUAUGUGAAUUUUAGAAUGCUUAAGAUGUGUAUGUUAUGUUUCAUAAAAAUUACCUCUAUAUAGUAGAGAGAGAUAUGUGCAUUGUUAGCAUGCAUGAGAAUAGCAUUCUAUUAUAUAAUUUGGAAUCAUGUUUCUUGCAAUAAAAAUGACUAGAAUAACAUGCUCUUCGAUGUAAAACUCAUGUUUGACAUAGUGGACAAAAAUGCCAUAAAGGGACAUUUAACUUAGCAAAUGGUUAAACUCCUACAUGAUGACAUAGUAAUAGGCCAUUGGAUCACUAGCCUUUAUACCAUAUUUUAGACAUGAUGAUAUUGGACUUGAGACAAAUAUUUACGCUUGCUUGCCAUUGUGCUUAUUCGCACAUACUUGUGAGGGUCGCUCCCCACAAGCCGGCACUUCGGAGAUAGCCAUUGCGACAUAAGCUCGCUUGUGCGGGAUUGGGCGCCGAAAUGGGAUGCCGUGGGGGAGGCUCAUUCCUAGAGUGGGAAUGUUGACUACCACGGGGCCAUUAGGCACGGCACAAGCCGGACUACCCAUGGGUAGGUCCUACAUAAUUGGAACAUUAUUGAACUAAAAUGCAAGGUGGACAUUAGACAAAUUAGUAAACAAUGUUAUUUUACUAGUUGCAUUUGUGGAUAUUAUGUUGUUUACAUACAUGCCUAUUCAUGUUAGAAUAGUUUCUACUUGUAGAACUUCAUGCUUAGUAGAGGCAUAGUAGUUUAGUAAGUUUAAUUCAUGUUUAUCAUACAUGUCGUUCAUUCCAUUUAAAUAUUAGAACUUACUCUUUUUGCCUUUUUAGCCUAGUGGUGUAUUUCGCGGAGGUCAGCGAUUGCCCACUGGGAACUAUUGUUUAAUAGUUCCCACGCCCCCUGUUUUGUUGUUUUCUUUCAGAGCCAUCCACACCGGGAGAGGCUCGGGAUCGUGGUAAAGGGAUCGCUACUGUCACACCCCGGGACCGGCCGAGGCCCUCCCGGUAGCGUGCCCAGACCCGCCAUAUGUCAGGAAAUAUAAGGCGUCUACAUCAACAGCGGAAAAUAAAAUCAAAGAUAAACAACAUCAAAAGAUAUCAGAGCACAAAUAGAGUUAUCAUCUACAACAAGGUAAAAGAAAAAUACUAAAACAAUAAGAGUGAAACAUAUAGUUAUACAAUAUCUGUCCAAAAUAGUACACAAAAGGGUGGUCUCUAAUACACUGGUGCAGCUCUCAACCUCUCCAAAAUAAAAAUAUCGGGAGGUAGACCACCUAUCAACUCAUCACUCGCUGAAGAGCUAGCUCGAAGCAAUGCCCUUUCCACGGUCCCUAGCCUCUCCCGGCGUGGAAGGCUCUGAAAGAAAAUAUAAAAUAGAGGGCGUGAGAACUAUAAUUUAUAGUUCCCAGUGGGCAAUUACUGACCUCAGCUCAAUGCAUCACUAGGCCCCAAAGAAAGGGUAAGUCUAAAAAGAGAGCAAUAGAAAUGAAUAAUUGCAUUUAUGAAAGCAUAAUUAAAAGCUAAGAUACUACUUUGCAAUUAAACAUGGUGUUAAUAUUAUGCACCUUUACUUGUCAUAAACAAUAUGUCUCUACAUGGCCACAAGUAAAUAUCACGGUUUACCUUAUGAAGUUGUAAAGAUCAUGCUUUAUCAUGGCAAUAAUGUGUAUAUGAAUGCAAUUAGCAACAUCUCCUAGCAUACUACAUGUAUGUAUGCAUGCUCAAGUGUCCAAAAUCAUGCUAGAAGUAAGUCCAAGUAAUCCAACUACUACUCUCUAUCUAGUAGUGAUUAAAACCCACUCAACACCGUGUCAAUUUUCAUUUCCAAUUAAGGACCUACCCAAGGUAGUCCAACUUGUGCCGCCUAAGUGCCUGUGGUAGCCUACAUUCCUGCUCUUAGAAUGUGUCUGUCCCACUCAACCCCGUAGGCUUCUCAAUACCGCACGAGCGAACAUAGGUCGCGUAGGCUAACUCCGGAGUGCCGGCUUGUAGGGAGCGACCCUCACAAGCAUGUGCGAAUGAGCACAAAUGGCAAGCAAGCGUAGUUAAAGGCUCAAGUAUCCAACUCUCAUGUCUCAAACAUGGCAAUAGCUACUAGUAACCCAACGAUUUAGCUCUAUGUCACAAUGUGCUAACCCAACACCCACUGGCUUAGUGCCUCUUUAUGACACUUAAGCAUCACAACUAAUCAAGCCCAAUUCAUAUUCUAUAUCCCAAUUAAGACAUUAAUACCAAUGUUCACUAUAGCCCGGGCCCAAUGCCUCUUAAUGACAUUGGCCCAAUUUCUCAAAUAGUCUAAGUCCCCAAGCCUCUCUAGGCGUCCAAAGUCCCUAAUGUCACAAUUGGGCAUGAAGAUUAAAUGUAUAAAAGUAAUGUUCAUUUUCAUAAUAGAAAUCAUGGUUCCAAGUCUCAACUAGAAUGCUAUAUCUCACAUGCAUGCACUCUAUCACAUAGAGAUCCAAAAAUUUACUAUACAUUACAUGGGCAUGUUAAGCAUUCUAAAAUUCAUAAUAAAUAUAUCUAACAUGAUUAUGCAUGCUUUAUCAUUUAACGAUACUCAAAUCAUCACAAAUGAGAUUUUCUCAUUGUGUGGCUAGGUCAAACCCACCGAACCGUCGCGUAGUCCCUCGUUUCGCCGAACGGAGUUGUCCACGAGUCUCAAAAUAUCCUAAAAAUAAUGAGCGAAGAGAUACAUGGGCAUUACGAUCAACGAUAAGAUCAAACAUUAAGCAUCAAGGCAAAAGGGCUAAAAUCUCACCUAGGGAGUAGAAAAUCUUUCCCAAGCUCCAAAAAAAAGCUAGAAUCCUUCCAAUCUAACCCAAAGGAAGGUUCUAAUCCAAGAAAUUAAGCUCCAAAAGCCCUAGGUUCAAAAUGCCCAAAACAAACCCUAAGUUCCCAAUCUAGGGUUUCAUCUCAAAAAGGAUCAAAAGGAGAAAACAAGUUUCCAACCUUUCAAGAAGCUCCCAACUAGGCUCCAAAUCAACCAAGGUUGGAGAUCUCCUCUCUAAUGAGCUCCUCUCCAAGAUCCAAGCCUCCAACAAGGGUGGAAAAUGCUCUAGGAUGCAAAAGAGAGGAAAAACUAUCUAAAUCCAAGCAAAAAAAAGAGAUAAAAUCCAAGGAGGGAGAAGAGAGGGAGUCCCUACCUUCUUCUCCUGUGUUCUCAGCUCAGGGAGAGCUCUAGGGGUCGUGGGUGCUAUAUAGAAUAGCCACAAUUGCGAAAAACCCCCUGCAGUUCAAAUUGCUCAAAAAUUGCUACUGCGUACCGGUAUACGGGCCCACGUACCGGUACACAUCCCACGAAAAUACCAAACCCGAGCCUCGGGUUGGCUGGGAAGCUGCCUGUGUACCGGUACACAAUCCCAUACCGGUACAACCAUCAACCCUGUACCGGUACAGCCAUCAACCCUGUACCGGCACACAGCCCAAUGAAGGCUACCCGAGAGCUAACCAAAAAUCUGAUUUUUCGGGUUUUAGUGCUAGGCUUCAGACCUCAAUCCUCGGGGUUCGAACCAUAGGUCGGAACACUGUCUACGACCCACCAGAAAGUCUGAAAAAACUCAGGACACAUCCAAUCACUCGAACCUCGCAAUUUGCAAAGGUCCAGUGUGUUACAUUCACCCCUCCUAAAAAGGAGUUUUGUCCGCGAAACUCAAAAGUAAAGUACCUCAAGCCUCCAUCUGAAAAGGAUAGGGAUAGCUCUCCCGCAGUGCGCUCUCCAACUCCCAAGUGGCCUCGCGCUCGUCGUGGUUGCUCCAAAGCACCUUCACGUUGGGAAUCUCACGGUUCCGCAGGCUCUUUACCUCGCAAGCCAAAAUCCUCAAAAGUUGCUCUUCAAAGCUCAAAUCAUCCCUCAGCUUCACUGGUGUAGCAUCCAACACGUGAGCCGAAUCAUAGAUGUACCUCCGAAGGACUGAUACAUGAAACACAUUGUGUACACCCGAUAGGUUUGGCGGUAGAGCAAGUCGAUACACUACCGGGCCUACACGCUCCAAAACCUCAUACGGUCCAAUGAAUCGGGGGCUCAACUUGCCCCGGAUUCCAAAUCUCCUAAUCCCUCUGGUCAGCGAGACUUUCAAGAAGACAUGGUCUCCAAUCUGAAACUCCAAGUCCCGUCGACGCUUGUCAGCAUAACUCUUUUGCCUACUCUGGGCUGUCAACAGUCGCUCCCUGGCAAUGCGAACCUUGUCCUCUGCUUCUUGGAGCAUAUCGGGGCCUAAAGCCAAUCUCUCGCAAACUUCACUCCAGUGAAGUGGCGAUCUGCACUUCCGUCCAUAAAGUGCCUCAAAUGGUGCCAUCUUGAUGCUUACUUGGUAACUGUUGUUAUAAGCAAACUCUGCCAUUGGUAGAUGCUGCGACCAUCCUCCCUGGAAGUUGAUCACACAGGCUCGAAGCAUGUCCUCAAGUGUCUGUAUAGUGCGCUCUGACUGCCGAUCACACUGAGGGUGGAAAGCUGUACUGAAGUCCAAGGGUGUGCCCAAGGCAUCCUGUAAGCUCCGCCAAAAGUGAGAUACAAAUCGGGGGUCUCGAUCUGACACUAUGGAAGUAGGUACCCCGUGCAGUCGUACAAUCUCAUCUAAAUAUACUUGUGCGAGUCUCUCACCAGUCCAACUAGUGUUGAUAGGUAUGAAAUGUGCCGAUUUCGUCAAUCUAUCCACGAUCACCCAUAUAGCAUCAUGCCCGGCCUGCGAGCGGGGCAACCCCACCACAAAGCCCAUGGUGAUCUUUUUCCAUUUCCACACUGGAAUCGCCAAGCUCUGCAAUUUCCCUGCGGGGACUCGGUGCUCAGCUUUAACCUGUUGGCAAGUUAAACAUCUAGCAACAAACUCACCAACGUCUUUCUUCAUCCCGGGCCACCAAUAAAUCAACUUCAAGUCCUUGUACAUCUUGGUGCCUUCCGGAUGUAUAGCAUACGGUGCUCGGUGUGCCUCUCAAAGAAUUUCUUCUUUAAGUGCCGAUUCCGCCGGUACACAUAUCCGUCCACGGAAGCGCAUCAGUCCAACACCGUCCACAGAAAAGUCAUCGGUGCAACCGUCAAUCAUCUUAGCUCGAAUCCUUUGCAACUCCACAUCGGAGACUUGCUUUUCUUUAAUCCUUUCCACAAGAGUAGGUCGCACCAUCAAAGUCAUCAGUCUCAAAGGUGUAUCAGGAGCCACCACCUCCAACUCCAACUGCUUCAUCUGCUCGAUCAAUGGCGGUUGAGUAACCACAAGUAUCGCUAAGUUUUUCGUCGAUUUCUUACUUAGCGUAUCCGCCACCACGUUAGCCUUGCCCGGGUGGUAAAGUAUCAUCAAAUCGUAAUCCUUGAGUAGCUCCAACCAUCUGCGCUGCCUCAAGUUCAACUCCUUCUGAGUAAAUAAAUACUUUAAGCUUUUGUGAUCCGUAUACACUUCACACUGCUCGCCGUAGAGAUAAUGGCGCCAUAGCUUCAACGCAAAGACUACGGCCGCCAACUCCAAGUCGUGAGUAGGAUAAUUCCUUUUAUAAUCCUUUAGUUGGCGAGAAGCAUACACGAUUACCUUCCCAUCCUGCAUCAAAACACAUCCCAAUCUAUUAAAGGAAGCGUCGCUAUAAAUCACAUAUCCUGCUCCAGUAACUGGCAAGGUUAGGAUCGGGGCGGUAGUCAGUCUCUGCUUCAACUCUUGGAAGCUCCUUUCACAUGCAUCAUUCGAAAUGAACUUGGUGCCCUUAUGCGUGAGCCUCGUGAGGGGAGUAGAUAAUCUUGCAAACCCCUCGACAAACCGUCGGUAGUAGCCGGCCAAACCAAAGAAGCUCCGAAUCUCCGUGACAUUCGUCGGCCUUGGCCAAUCUUUGAUAGCUUCAAUUUUUCUCGGGUCCACGCCUAUGCCUGAUCCUGAAAUCACAUAGCCCAAAAACGCCACCUCUCUAAGCCAAAAUUAACACUUUUUCAGCUUGGCAUAGAGCUUCCUUUUCCGAAGUACUUGAAGUACAAGUCUCAAGUGUUCCUCGUGAUCCGCAUCACUCCGGGAAUAAACUAAGAUGUCGUUGAUGAAUACCACGACGAACCUGUCUAGAUAAGGCUUAAACACAAGGUUCAUAAGAUCCAUAAAAGCUGCCGGAGCAUUAGUAAGCCCGAACGGCAUCACAGUAAAUUCAUAAUGUCCAUACUGUGUUCUAAAAGCCGUCUUUGACACAUCCUCAGGCUUGAUCUUUAACUGGUGAUAUCCGGACUGCAGGUCGAUCUUGGAAUACACACUGGAUCCCUGUAACUGAUCAAAUAGAUCGUCGAUCCUCGGCAAUGGAUACUUAUUUUUAAUCGUGACUUUGUUAAGUUCACGAUAGUCCACGCAUAAGCGAAGUGAUCCAUCAUAUUUCUUAACAAAUAGAACCGGUGCUCCCCAAGGUGACACACUCGGUCGCACAAAACCCUUAUCCAAAAGAUCCUCCAACUGUGCCUUCAGCUCUCUCAAUUCUGCUGGUGCCAUCCUAUAGGGCGCCUUUGAGAUUGGAGUAGUCCCGGGAACGAGAUCUACCACAAACUCAAUCUCCCUAUCAGGUGGCAUGCCUGGAAGCUCUACUGGAAACACAUCUCCAAACUCCCGCACUACGGGGAUAUCCUAAAUCCUGGGGUCAUUAUCAUCACCCCUCAACACAAUAGUAGCCAAGUAGACCACACAGCCUCUACUAAUCAACUGCCUAGCUCGCGAGGAGCUAAUCGUCAUCGCAAACAGCGAACUCUGGCAUCCACGGUACACAACCUCCGCCUGCCCCAGCUUUCUAAAUGUCACAGUUCGAUCCUUGCAAUCGAUAGUGGCGUAGUACUUAGUCAACUAAUUCAUGCUCAAGACAACAUCAAACUCUCCGAGUUUAUGCAAAGCUAAAAGGUCUACGGGCAUAAUCCAAUCUCUAACCCGAACAGAGCAACUGGGGCAGAACUCCCGAAUAUCUAAAGUGUGAUCGGGCACAACAACUCGUCGAGGAUGCAAAAAAGAUGUCAGUGGGAUGCCAUGCAACUCGGCAAACAACCGGUCUAUGAAUGAAUGCGAUGCACCGGUAUCAAACAAUGCUCGUACUCGAAUACCAUAAAGUAAAAUGAUAGCUGCGACCACAUUCUCGGCUGCUGCUGCCUCCUCAGUCUGAGCCGCGUACAUGCGCCCGCUCGGGGCCUGUCGUGACUGUUAGAUGUAUGCCCUAGAAGCCAACCAGGACGACACAUGUAUUCUUUCUAGGACAUAAAUUUGUAUUUGACUUUAAAUAUUAUGAAUAACUUUGGGUUUUUUAUAUUUCCAUUCAUGUUGUGUAUGUGUCCAUGAAUCGUCCAAGGAAUUAAUAAGAUGAUGACAUAUAUUCUCAAGAGUUGAGAAUUUGAGACAUGUGUCAUUGGUGGUUAAUUCCUAAAUGCUCCCGAUCAAUGGAUCAUCACGGGGACGGUGAUUGAUCCGGUGAGAUUGGUGCAUAGGUAGCUUCCCUUUUGGGUAGACGAGUUUCGAGUCGACAGUGUGGGGACACUGAAGCGAAUAUGCAGGUGGUUGUUAGAGAACAAGGGUACCGAGCGUGACCAACGCGAGAAGUCACUUGGAUGUCUACUCACUCGUCAGUGACUUACUCAAUUGUUGCAGUAGUGUGACUGGUCCUUUGACCUGCGGUGCCUCGGCUAUUCACAAUGAGGUUACUGUAGUUUGACUGUACAUACACUUGGUCCCUAGCCAUUCGGGUCCUUGCGGUGCAUGUUGGCUGCAGUAGGUUCAUUGUAGGAAUAGGGUGCGCACUUAGAUGGAAUCUAUCUCCCUUGGUAGAUAGGGGUGUUAGUCCUAUGUGAUUUAUGAGACCGAGUUUAGAAGACCUUGGCCAGGGCAGAAUAAAUAGCGGAAAAGGGUUUCCGAUAUUAGAAACUCGAGUCGAAUAAAUUUAACAUAUGACAGACGAUGGGGUUUGACGAGUUAUUCCAUAACCUCCGUCUAGUCGGGACUCAUGAUAGAAGGAUUGUAUCACACGGUAACUGCACCAAGAGGUUCAGUAUUCCAUUCUACUGGAAUGCCACUACAUGCUGCUAGGCGUCACUGGUGGAUUGUGAGACUCAUGAGAAUUAUCUAGAUGAUCGAUAAUUCUCAUUGGGCUGAGUUGGAAUUGUUCUAAUCCAUUGAAAGGAGUUUCAGUGAUAUUGUUGAUAGUGAUCAAAAUAUAUCUCACUACCAGAUAGAAUAGAACCUAUGGGGUCACACACAUAAGAGGUUGUGAUUGAUCGGAUAGCUAGAUCGCGAUUAUUGAAUCGCCGGAGGACCUAAUUGUCAAUAUAUUGAUAAUUGGACUAAUUUGUAAUUGUUACAAAUUAGUGGUAUUAAAGUGUAAACAUUACAGGAGAGCACUUACUAAUAGUUAGUAAAUUAUAAGAGGACUUAUGUGCAAAUGUUGCAUUAUUACUUUGAUAAGAUCAAAUUAAUAUAAAAUUCAAGUCGAAUCAAAUUAGGAUUUGAUCGAUCUAACCAAUUAAGGAAAAGAUAAAUUUAAAUCUAGAUUUAUACUUAUCCUUAAUUGUCAUUAUAUUAUUAGGAAUAGGAUUAUAUUCUUAUAUAUAAUAUACGGGAGUUUUUAGAAAACCCUAGCCGUCAUCUAUUCUCUUUUCUCUCUUCCAUCUUCUAGCAAGAAAGACGUCCUUUUGCAAGGGAGCUAGCACCCCGGUGAGGACAUCGAUCAAAUCAAGAACAUUGUGUGGAUACCUAUAGAGGCCGGACGCGUGUGCGGCUUCAAGAGAACCGAAUUCCACGAUCAUCAAAUUGAGGGGAAGAUCUAUCCGCGAAAAAGGUAAAGAUUCGAUCUUGUUUUUCUUCUUUAAUCUUAAAACAUGAGGGAUCCUAAUUGCGUGGUUUUUGAGAUUGGAUCUCGAAAGUUUUUCAGAAUCAAAUUUGUUUGAUUUCUUUUUCCGCUGCGUUUUACUGUACGUAAUUUUCUAACAGUGACCCCUCCAUCUGUCGCUGGACAGGUGGCCGCCCAGCCUGGUGAGGUGCAGGAAGUGUCCCCUGGCUGGGACCCGGUGAAGCUGGUGCUGAUGCCGAUGAUGGCGCUGGCGCUGAACCCCUGAGGCAGUCCGACUGAAGGUGGCCCUCCUGGACACAUAGAUAGCACCUGCCCCGACUGCGCGUGCACUGUCGUAGGAAAUGUGGGCCACCACAGAUCACGCAGCGCGGGGCCUGGCGUCGAUCAGGACCUCCUCGCUCGGUAGACUGGCCACGUCCUCGCGACUGGCUCCGACUCCUGGGAUGCCUCGGCGGCCUCCGUGAGUACGUCUGACUCGCACCCUCAGCCGCUGUCCUCUUGCCCUUGCCCUUGUCUAGGGCCUCGUGUCGCUCCUGAAGGUCUGCCGCUCCAGCUUCCACAAUGAGUGCACGGUCCACAACCUCCCGGUAGGUUUGGAGGUUGGAGGACUGCACCAACCGGAAGAUCGAAGGCCGUAAUCCACGCUAAAAAAUGCGGGCAUUAUCCUCGUCAUCCUGUACCAUAAAUGGUACACAGCAGAGUAGCCGAGAAAACUCCCUCUCGUACUCGGCCACAGAUCGCUCCUCCUGGCGCAAGCUGCGCAAGUCCUGCUCCAUCUUUCUCUUGGCGCUAGUAGGGAAGUAGUGCGCCAGAAGCAGCUCCUUGAACCUCGCCCAAGAGAUCACUGCCAAGUCUGUGUUGGGGUUGUCCAGGAUAUCCAACCACCAACGGUAGGCCUCGCCGUCUAGGAAGUGUGUGGCAAGCCACAAUCUGUCCCUCUUCUCCACAAAGGUAUCUCAAAAUAGCUUCUCCAUAUGCAUAAGCCACUUUUCCACUAUCCAAUGGUCAACGUUCUCCCCGUCAAAGGCCCGGGGGCUGCAUCUCCUGAACUCACUGAGACGCUCCAUAAGCCGAUCCCGCUAGGCUCCCUCAACCAUCGCGGGGAAAACCGCCCCCGCUACAGAUGCUCGCGCCGGUGGUGCCACGAACUCCUCUCCCCGAGGCGCAAUAUCCAGUGAUGUCCUUGGAGUACUGGGCACAACAUUAUAAAAGCGCAAGUUAGUAAAACCCACGCUAUCGCAACCCCGCUCAAUAAAUAAGUACCCAAAUCAUGCGAAAGUAAGGAAAUGCCCUUCACUACUAACUCCCGAUGUUACGUUGUCGGCCGCCAACGUAACCGUCCGUGAAGUUAGAAGCCACACACUCCGAUCAAACUCUAACUUUUUAGAGUUAUCAUCAAGCCCAAUCGAAAUACUUUCGCUAACAGUUCAAUUAGACCUCGUCUCACACGAGCCUAUUUUCUAUAGUCCAACCGGCCUAAGGUUUGCUAGGUCCACUAAGACUCAACCCUAGGCUCUGAUACCAAACUAAUCUGUCACGCCCCGGGACCGGCCGAGGCCCUCCCGGUAGCGUGCCCAGACCCGCCAUAUGUCAGCACAUAUAAGGCGUCUACAUUAACAGCGGAAAAUAAAACCAAAGAUAAACAACAUCUAGAGAUAUCAGAGCACAAAUAGAGCUAUCAUCUACAACAAGGUAAAAGGAAAAUACUAAAGCAAUAAGAGUAAAACAUAUAGUUAUACAAUAUCUGUCUAAAAUAGUACACAAAAGGGUGGUCUCUAAUACAAUGGUGCAGCUCUCAACCUCUCCAAAAUAAAAACAUCGGGAGGUAGACCACCUAUCAAUUCGUCACUCGCUGAAGAGCUAGCUCGAAGCAACGCCCUUCCCACGGUCCCUAGCCUCUCCCGGCGUGGAAGGCUCUGAAAGAAAACAUAAAACAGAGUGCGUGAUAACUAUAAUUUAUAGUUCCCAGUGGGCAAUUACUGACCUCAGCUCAAUGCACCACUAGGCCCCAAAGAAAGGGUAAGUCUAAAAAGAGAGCAAUAGAAAUGAAUAAUUGCAUUUAUGAAAGUAUAAUUAAAAGCUAAGAUACUACUUUGCAAUUAAACAAGGUGUUAAUAUCAUGCACCUUUACUUGGUAUAAACAAUAUGUCUCUACAUGGCCACAAGUAAAUGUCACGAUUUACUUUCUGAAUGUCACGCCCGGGUACCAGCGAAAGCAUAUCCGGUCGCGUGCACAGACCCACCGUGUACACCACAACUCAAGUAUACACAACGCGUCUACAAACUAUAUAGUAAAAAGCAUAUAAUUCUAACCAGGUAAUCAGAGCACGACUUUUAAACUC
rnacentral:lncRNA from 1 species